UGCAGGGGUUCCACGGCACCCUGACUGUACUCGUUGCAAUUCCAAUCAAGCAGGAGAGACCAGCCUCCCCUGUACCCAGCUGUGUGUCCAUGAAGAGUGACUGGUCUAUGAGACAUCCUCUAAAGUUUAGAGAGGAAGACUUUUCUACUGAACAAAGAAACCAACAGGAGAGAUCAGAGUCAGAGAUUCUCAGUGGUCAGUCUU